UCAGAAAGAUAUUUCAUCCUUGAAAAUACAGUCUAUACAUUUUUUAAAGUAGUGAUUUGUUACUUUUUGUUUUCAAAGUCGUUUUAGAGCUACAUUAGGAAACUCAUUGAAUAGUUGGAUUACCUACGAACACUCAUGAAUGUAGGCCGUAGGAAGCCGUUGAGAGGCCAGCUGCCUUCAGUUACAGUGUGUGGUUUUUGGAUUUCCUAUACUGACUAAACCUAACUCCUGCUGAGUAGUUAGGUUGCUUAAUUUUUAAUUAAUUUUCUUUGAUUUUUAAUUUUUAAUUUUUAAGUUAUUUUUCGGGGGGUUGCUUAAUUAUAAACUGUUAUAGUUUUACGUAAAACAUAGUUUAGUUUCUCAACAGCCUUUUAAUUUAAAAGACUUUUGUGGGGCGCCUGGCUAAUACAGUCAAUCAUUUUCUUUUACUUUUUUAAAUAUUUUAUUUUUAAGUAAUCUGCACCCAGUGUGGGGCUCGAACUCACAACCCUGAGAUCAAGAGUCACAUGCUCUACCAACUGAGCCAGCCAGGUGCCCCCACAAUCAACCAUUUUCUGUCUUACCUCCGCAACCCCGGUGUAUUCAAACUGUGACAUACCAGAUUUAUAAUCUCUUGAAUGCAGUAACAUCAUAAGAAUGAAAAAGAAUGCAGGUGGUUGAUACAGGAGUAUAUUUGGGGAAAUAAAGUUCAGAGUUGAAGUUCUGUUGGAGAUACUGGAAGUGAAUUCUAAGGACAAAGAGGUAGGUCCAAAGUCAGACUGUCACUUUCUGAUCCUGUGAUGUGGAUAAGUCCUUGACUUGAGUUAGUGCAUCAGUAAAAUGGAAGCAGUGUUACUGUCUUUUCCUUAGAGGAUCAUUUUAAGGAUUAAAUAACGUGUGUAAACUUGCUUCCAAUUCUACAAAAUAGUGCGUAAUUAUAAAGCACUGAAGUAAAUACAAGGGAAGAGGGAGAGUUGAAAAAUAAAUCUUUGAGGAUCUGAAGACUUAAGUGUGUACGUUUUUAAAUGUAGCUUUAGUAUUGAGGUGACAGUGGCCUGGAACGUACGAGGAAAAUCAUGUCAUUGUAACCAGCUGUAAACUGUCUUUUUUGAGGUGAUAAUGAAAUGUUUUUGUUACUGCAGAGCUUUACAGUUGAUAAAGCAUCCUUGCAAAUAUUAUAGUUUCUAAUUAUUCUGAAUAUUGGUCAAGAAGAAAAGUGAUAACAUCAAACUGGUUUGGACUACUGAUUUAACUUCUGUCUUUUGAAUGAAAUUGAAAUAGUUACUCUGUAGCAAGUGAUUUAGUUAUGAAGACAAAGUAAAUAUGCUCUGAAAAUUUGAAAUACAGAGUUAAUUUAAAAUAUUCAGAUAAAAAAUAAAAUAUUCAGAUGAGUUAAUGCUCUUCUGAAAUUUUUUGGAAUAUUUCUAUUCUCUUCUAGAUACAAAGGAAAGGAAAAUGAAAAAAACUGUGGAGAUAUCUCCAAGUAUCAGAGUUUGAUAGAACAGUGUAAACUUGAAUUGGCAAAUGCUGUUUCCAUACAUUGGGAGUUUUUUGAACUGUAUGGAACGUUUGCAAAUGUGAGUUUUUAAAAUGCUCACAAAUAGAAUUUUAAUAGAGUGGGAAAAAUUGAGGAAAUUUAGAUUGUAGCAAGUACAAAUACUUUCUGAUUUGAACAAAAGUACAUAUUUUCUGAAUAAAAAGGGUUGCUUUUUUCUAAUUGAAUUUAGUUAUUCAAAGGCAAAUAUUAAUAGAAGUAAGUUGCGUUAUCUCUAUUUGCAGUAGAAAAAUGUUCCUGGGAAGUAGUAAUGUAGAUCAAAUUUUAAAACUCAAGUCAUUUUUAAAUUAUAUUAGUUGAGUUCGAAGUUUGUAGAAACCUUAGGUGAAUAGUUUUAAAGUAGGAAAUCUUUUGCUAAUAUGAAGAAAUUUUUUGUAUAUUGGGUUUCCCUAACUCUGUAUAUUUGAAAAGGUUUGAUUCUUAUUUUGAGUCACUACGUACCUUUGAAAACCUAAUUUUAGCUGUAGACUCAGCAAAAUGUACGGUCACACUUAUAUACCCCCAAAAUUGAAUUAUAUCAUAUGGGUGGUCAUAGAAAAUGUAUCCAGGGACUCCAGAUUAAGGACUCUUCUUGCAGAGAAUUUCAGAUUGAAAUCUAUGUGAUUUUUUUUUUUUUAAUUCCUAGAUUUUUCUAUUCAGAAAGUCACAAAUUUUGAAUCUUAAGAUCUAAGCGAGUCCUCAUUUUCGUCAUCACAUAGGUCUGCAUCAGUGCACAAACGUUGUAGUUUUUUAAUUUUUACAAUUUUCGCCAAAAAAACCCCUAUAAACUUUUAAGGGUAAAGAUCUCUGUCUCCCUUCUCUUCCGUCAAAAUAUGGUGAAAGCAAGGUCAGAUGUAGGGGCAGAGUAUAUGUAUUUAUUAUUCUAGUUUUUACUCUGAUGUUCUUUUCAUUAUAUUGAUUCAUUUCCUAUAGAACUUCUUGUUAUUUGCUCAGACUUUUUGCUCAUCCUAGUUUUCUUGGAAGGCGAAAGAAAAGGAAUAUUGGAAAACGUAAAUUACACUGGAAAUCAGAAGAUGUGAGUUCUGGGUGCUCUUUUACCAUGAAGUGUGUUGUGUGACUUUGGAUAGUUCCUUCUCUGCUCUAAUGUCCCUAAAACGAGGGUGUGAUGUUCAGGUCCCUUGACAUAGAAACUGAAAUUUCUUUGAUUUACUUUCCAUCAAUUCAGGGAUGAUAGAUUUUUAUAAUCUCACUUUCCAUUGGGUAAAUAAUACAGACUUGAGGCAAAAGUAAGACAGUAGAAGUCCUAUGUAGUUUGUUCAAAACUGCUGGUCACUCAAAGAAGAGAAAAAAUGAGUGGACACAGUGGAGAAAGUUGAAUCUAGUUUGGAACAAAAACGAUAGUUUUGAAGUUUGGGGGAGAGUGGUAUUGGGCACAUGGUUGUCCUUUCUCCAACCUGCUCUCCCACUCAUUUAAAUACUUUUCAUUAUUUAAUUUUGAAAUUACUUACAACCACAACUAUUGGCUUAGAAAAGUGUAUUUAACCAAUAGGAUGCCCUAACUCCCUGACUUUCCAUGUGUUAACAAUUCACUAAUUGAUUCUCUUACAAAAUUCAUGGAUGUUGUAGUUUUGAAAGUGAUUCAGGUGAAGUCUAGAAGCGUGAGCUUUAGCAGCCUCUGAUUCACCUACAGGGUUUGUUACACACGCAUCACUGGGCCAACGCCCGCGGCUCCUGAAUCAGUAGAUCUGCACUGGGGCCCAGCAGUUUGCACUUCUAAAAUGUUUCUAGGUAAUGCUGGUGCUGCCGGUCUGGAGACCACAUAAGAGAUUCACUGGUCUAGGGCAUACAGAAUUGUUAGCCCAAAGAUACAGUUUAUGAGGUGGAUAGCAAUGGAAGUGGUCAGGAUUGUUUUUGAAUUUAUAGUCUGUUGUGAUUAUGUU